rnacentral:rRNA from 1 species
UGGGGAAUAUUGGACAAUGGGCGAAAGCCUGAUCCAGCAAUGCCGCGUGAGUGAUGAAGGCCUUAGGGUUGUAAAGCUCUUUUACCCGGGAUGAUAAUGACAGUACCGGGAGAAUAAGCCCCGGCUAACUCCGUGCCAGCAGCCGCGGUAAUACGGAGGGGGCUAGCGUUGUUCGGAAUUACUGGGCGUAAAGCGUACGUAGGCGGUGUCUCAAGUCAGAGGUGAAAGCCUGGAGCUCAACUCCAGAACUGCCUUUGAAACUAGGACGCUAGAAUUGCGGAGAGGUGAGUGGAAUUCCGAGUGUAGAGGUGAAAUUCGUAGAUAUUCGGAAGAACACCAGUGGCGAAGGCGGCUCACUGGACGCAUAUUGACGCUGAGGUACGAAAGCGUGGGGAGCAAACAGG